rnacentral:rRNA from 1 species
GACGAACGCUGGCGGCGUGCUUAACACAUGCAAGUCGAACGGAAGGGCCCUGCUUUUGUGGGGUGCUCGAGUGGCGAACGGGUGAGUAACACGUGAGUAACCUGCCCUUGACUUUGGGAUAACUUCAGGAAACUGGGGCUAAUACCGGAUAGGAGCUCCUGCUGCAUGGUGGGGGUUGGAAAGUUUCGGCGGGUGGGGAUGGACUCGCGGCUUAUCAGCUUGUUGGUGGGGUAGUGGCUUACCAAGGCUUUGACGGGUAGCCGGCCUGAGAGGGUGACCGGCCACAUUGGGACUGAGAUACGGCCCAGACUCGUACGGGAGGCAACAGUGGGAAAUAUUGCACAACGGGCGGAAGCCUGAUGCGGCAACGCCGCGGGCGGGAUGACGGCCUUCGGGUUGUAAACCGCUUUCGCCUGUGACGAAGCGUGAGUGACGGUAAUGGGUAAAGAAGCACCGGCUAACUACGUG